rnacentral:rRNA from 1 species
AACCUGGCGCAGGCUACCAUGCAGUCGAGCGGCUGUAGCAUACGGCAGCGGCAGACGGGAGAGUAACACGUGGGACGCGCCCUUCGGUUCGGAAUAACUCAGUGAAACUUGGGCUAAUACCGAAUACGCCCUUACGGGGAAAGAUUCAUUGCCGAAGGAACGGCCCGCGUCCGAUUAGCUUGUUGGUGAGGUAACGGCUCACCAAGGCGACGAUCGGUAGCUGGUCUGAGAGGAUGACCAGCCUCACUGGGACUGAGACACGGCCCAGACUCCUACGGGAGGCAGCAGUGGGGAAUAUUGGACAAUGGGCGCAAGCCUGAUCCAGCCAUGCCGCGUGGGUGAUGAAGGCCUUAGGGUUGUAAAGCUCUUUCGGCGGGGACAAUAAUGACGGUACCCGCAGAAGAAGCCCCGGCUAACUUCGUGCCAGCAGCCGCGGUAAUACGAAGGGGGCUAGCGUUGUUCGGAAUCACUGGGCGUAAAGGGCGCGUAAGCGGCUUUGUAAGUCGGGGGUGAAAGCCUGUGGCUCAACCACAGAAUUGCCUUCGAUACUGCAUGGCUUGAGACCGGAAGAGGUAAGUGGAACUGCGAGUGUAGAGGUGAAAUUCGUAGAUUUUCGCAAGAACACCAGUGGCGAAGGCGGCUUACUGGUCCGGAUCUGACC